UUCCUCUCAGGAUCACACCUAGAGAGUUUCCAGUACUUUACCAGUCUUGGCUGUGAGAGGGAGAGUCAAGCUGAGGCAUUCCCAUUCCUUUCCUAGCUUGGGCAGUGGCUAGUAAGUGGAAGUCAAUCUGCUACAAGA
rnacentral:snoRNA from 1 species